GACUCAACACGGGGAACUCACCAGGUCCAGAUGAAUAAGGAUUGACAGAUUGAGAGCUCUUUCUUGAUUUUUCAGGUGCUGGUGCAUGCCGUUCUUAGUUCGUGGGGUGACUUGUCUGCUUAAUUGCGAUAACGAACGAGACCUUAACCUGCUAAAUAGCUAGGCUAGCUUUGGCUGGUCGCCGGCUUCUUAGAGGGACUAUCGGCUCAAGCCGAUGGAAGUUUGAGGCAAUAACAGGUCUGUGAUGCCCUUAGAUGUUCUGGGCCGCACGCGCGCUACACUGACGGAGCCAACGAGUACAUCACCUUGGCCGAAAGGCCUGGGUAAUCUUGUUAAACUCCGUCGUGCUGGGGAUAGAGCAUGCAAUUAU
rnacentral:rRNA from 1 species